GUUAGCCUAGAAGCUGAACACUAAUUGUUCCAUCCUGAUAACUGGUUUUCAAUACUAUCUGAAAUCAUUUCAAACACUUGACCCGGGCUUGAUUGAGCUUUCCUGGCACAGUGGGACUAAGAGACUCUGCCCAACUGACACUCCAGGCAAGCUAAAGCCAACACUGAAAGAUUUGAACUCAAAAGGAUGGAUGGAUGGAUAGAAGGAUGGAUGGAUGGAUGGAUAGAAGGAUGGAUAGAUGGAUGGAAGGAUGGAUAGAUAGAUGGAUGGAUAGAUAGAAGGAUGGAUGUAAGGAUGGAUGGAUGGAUGGAUGGAUGGAUGGAAGGAAGGAUGGAUGGAUAGAAGGAUGGAUGGAUGGAUGUAAGGAUGGAUGGAUGGAUGGAAUUAGAGAUAGUAUCCUGUACAAACUAGAUAUGUUAUCAAAUGUAAUUUGUUACAUGCGCUGAAUACAACAAGUGUAGACCUUACUGUGAAAUGCUUUACUUACAAGUCCUUAACCAACAAUGCAGUUCAAGAAGAGUAAAAAUAAAUAAAUAAUAAAAAGCAACACGGUAACGAGGCUAUAUACAGGGGGUAUCGGUACAGAGUCAGUGUGGAGGCUAUAUACUGGGGGUACCGGUACAGAGUCAGUGUGGAGGCUAUAUACAGGGGGUACCGGUACAGAGUCAGUGUGGAGGCUAUAUACUGGGGGUACCGGUACCGAGUCAGUGUGGAGGCUAUAUACUGGGGGUACCGGUACCGAGUCAGUGUGGGGGCUAUAUACAGGGGGUACCGGGUCAUGUGGGGGGCUAUAUACAGGGGGUACCGGUACCGAGUCAGUGUGGGGGCUAUAUACAGGGGGUACUGGUACCGGGUCAGUGUGGGGGCUAUAUACAGGGGGUACCGGUACAGAGUCAAUGUGGAGGCUAUAUACAGGGGGUACCGGUACCGAGUCAGUGUGCAGGGGUACAGGUUAGUUGAGGUAAUUUGUACAUGUGGGUCGGGGUGAAGUGACUGUACAUAGAUAAUAAACAGUGAGUAGCAGCAGUGUACAAAAUAAAUGGGGUGUCAAUGUAAUAGUCCGGUGACCGAGCAGUUGCCAGGAGGUGAUGCAACCAGUCAAGAUGCUCUCGAUGGUGCAGCUGUAGAAUUUCUUGAGGAUCUGGGGACCCAUGCCAAAUCUUUUCAGUCUCCUGAGGGGGAAAAGGUUUUGUCGUACUCCUCUUCACGACUGUCUUGGUUAGUUUGGACCAUGAUCCUGUACAAACUAGAGAUUCACUAUAUAUACAAAAGUAUGUGGACACAUCUUAAAAUGAGAGGAUUCGCAUAGUUCA
ensembl:lncRNA